rnacentral:rRNA from 1 species
UACGUAGGGUGCGAGCGUUGUCCGGAAUUACUGGGCGUAAAGAGCUCGUAGGUGGUUUGUCGCGUUGUCCGUGAAAACUCACAACUCAAUUGUGGGCGUGCGGGCGAUACGGGCAGACUGGAGUACUGCAGGGGAGACUGGAAUUCCUGGUGUAGCGGUGGAAUGCGCAGAUAUCAGGAGGAACACCGGUGGCGAAGGCGGGUCUCUGGGCCGAUACUGACGCUGAGACGCGAAAGCGUGGGGAGCGAACAGG